rnacentral:rRNA from 1 species
AGGAAGGCAGCAGGCGCGCAAAUUACCCAAUCCCGACACGGGGAGGUAGUGACAAUAAAUACUGAUACAGGGCUCUUUUGGGUCUUGUAAUCGGAAUGAGUACAAUCUAAAUCCCUUAACGAGGAACAAUUGGAGGGCAAGUCUGGUGCCAGCAGCCGCGGUAAUUCCAGCUCCAAUAGCGUAUAUUAAAGUUGUUGCAGUUAAAAAGCUCGUAGUUGAACCUUGGGUCUGGCUGGCCGGUCCGCCUCACCGCGAGUACUGGUCCGGCUGGACCUUUCCUUCUGGGGAACCCCAUGGCCUUCACUGGCCGUGGCGGGGAACCAGGACUUUUACUGUGAAAAAAUUAGAGUGUUCAAAGCAGGCCUUUGCUCGAAUACAUUAGCAUGGAAUAAUAGAAUAGGACGUGUGGUUCUAUUUUGUUGGUUUCUAGGACCGCCGUAAUGAUUAAUAGGGAUAGUCGGGGGCGUCAGUAUUCAGCUGUCAGAGGUGAAAUUCUUGGAUUUGCUGAAGACUAACUACUGCGAAAGCAUUCGCCAAGGAUGUUUUCAUUAAUCAGGGAACGAAAGUUAGGGGAUCGAAGACGAUCAGAUACCGUCGUAGUCUUAACCAUAAACUAUGCCGACUAGGGAUCGGACGGUGUUUUUAUUAUGACCCGUUCGGCACCUUACGAGAAAUCAAAGUUUUUGGGUUCUGGGGGGAGUAUGGUCGCAAGGCUGAAACUUAAA